rnacentral:rRNA from 1 species
CCAUUCAUUAAAGUUUGGGCACUUUAAGGAAACUGCCGGUGAUAAGCCGGAGGAAGGUGGGGAUGACGUCGAGUCCUCAUGGCCCUUACAGGCUGGGCUACACACGUGCUACAAUGGCAUCUACAGUGGGCAGCUAUUCCGCAAGGAUGCGCUAAUCUCCAAAAGAUGUCUCAGUUCGGAUUGUCCUCUGCAACUCGAGGGCAUGAAGGCGGAAUCGCUAGUAAUCGCGGAUCAGCAUGCCGCGGUGAAUACGUUCCCAGGCCUU